AUUGAACGCUGGCGGCAGGCUUAACACAUGCAAGUCGAACGAGUGGCGGACGGGUGAGUAAUGCUUGGGAAUCUAGCUUAUGGAGGGGGAUAACUACUGGAAACUGUAGCUAAUACCGCAUACCAUAGGAUGAGCCCAUGUGGGAUUAGCUAGUUGGUGGGGUAACGGCUCACCAAGCCGACGAUCUCUAGCUGGUCUGAGAGGAUGACCAGCCACACUGGGACUGAGACACGGCCCAGACUCCUACGGGAGGCAGCAGUGGGGAAUAUUGCACAAUGGGAGCAACCCUGACGCAGCCAUGCCGCGUGAAUGAAGAAGGCCUUCGGGUUGUAAAGUUCUUUCAGUAGCGAGGCGUUACCUACAGAAGAAGCACCGGCUAACUCCGUGCCAGCAGCCGCGGUAAUAC
rnacentral:rRNA from 1 species